GCAUGUGCGCGAGUCAUUGGGACUCUGUUAAACCUAAAGGCGCAAUGAAAGUAAAGGUCCGCCUCGCGCGGACCGAGGGAGGAUGGGCCCGUCCCCGGGCGGGCCCCGCACUCCCGGGGCGUCUCGUUCUCAUCGCGAGAAGAGGCGCACCCAGAGCGUACACGCUGGGACCCGAAAGAUGGUGAACUAUGCCUGGUCAGGACGAAGUCAGGGGAAACCCUGAUGGAGGUCCGUAGCGAUUCUGACGUGCAAAUCGAUCGUCGGAACUGGGUAUAGG
rnacentral:rRNA from 13 species